AAGUCGUAACAAGGUUUCCGUAGGUGAACCUGCGGAAGGAUCAUUAGUAAAAUUUUACUGUUGGGCAGUUGCUUUCUCUCUAACGUUAGUUAGUGAGGCAUUAACUGCCUCAUGCAUUGCUUGCAAAGGGGGGGGUUCUCCCCUUUAGCCUGUGCAUGGAAACAAAAAAAUCCACCAUUGUGAACGAUGAAAAAACAACUUUAAUUAAACUACAGAGACUCUCUUAUAUUGUAUCAACCCAUCAUUUAUUAGAUAAAAUAACAAAGAACAACUGUUAACGAUGGAUCCCUUGGCUCUUA
rnacentral:misc_RNA from 1 species